UACUCUUAACUGAGCCCUCCAACUAUAUCAGUACCUGAUUUCAAUGACAAUUAACUUUGUCACAUUAAUGAAAGUGCCUUCUGUAUCUGUAAAUGAAUCAGAAGACUGUUUGGUGAGGACUCCAGACUUCUGACAGAGAAAAGGCUAUGGGAAGAAAUGUUCCUCAGAACUAGGAAAAUUAUGUAGCAAAGACAAUACUUUGCCUUAGACUGUGUAUUUACUUAUGGUGGCUGGUGAUUGGAAGAAGGGUGGCCUGGUCUUGGAGAUUUUCAGUAUUUUAAUGUCCAUCUUCCUCCCUAGGCCAUACUUUGGGUUCGUGUUGCCUCUGUCCUUAAAAAUAAUAGAGACUCGUCUUGAGCACCUUGAAAUGACAUAGGGAGGCUCUAAUGAGUUUGGCAUGGCAAAAAUCCAUGUUCAUUGUAAUUCACAAAUAAUUUUUCUCUAGGGAACACUGCACAUGGAAUAAAGUAAAAAGCAGAAGAAAUGGGAAUGAUUCAUACUAACUGCACCACCAGGCUGGGAAGCAGAUCAGAGAUGAUCCUAAAUCCAGUACAGCUAAAGAAUCUCAACUCUGGAAAUGUUUCCCUUUCCCAUUUAUUCUCUCAUCCUCUCAAAGAAUCCAAAGAUGCUUGUAGGUAACUUGAGUAAGUUGCUGGCUGCCAGCCUGGAAACAAGACGUUCACAACUCAAGAACCAACCAAGGAACUCAGCCAUGUGGAGUACAGGUACAUAAAGUCAUUCAAUGUGAAGCACUGUAUGGCUGGGUCAAUGUUCAUGGGAAUAUUUACCAGGGAGAAUAGCCACUGAGAAGAGGGAUGGCCGAGACUGCCAAGUUUGGUGUCUCGCCUUUUUAAAACAAACUCACUCCUACACAGCUUGGGUGAGUGACUUACUACAUUCAAAUGGCAAUAUUCUCAUUUCAACCUUUCAAAAAGGAAAGCUACCAGUGGAAUCAGAGAUUGGAGGAAUUCUAAAACACUUUCCAAGUAAGUCUGUGUCUUGGGAGAGGUUGUGGGUUUCUCUCUUAUGACCAAAGAGAGGGUCAACUCUACCAAAGAACAAAAAUAAUCUAUUCACUAAAUUGAUAGUGUAAGUUUGGUAUGUGGGAGAGAGGCCUUUAAAAAUAAUUUCUCGGAGCAUGUAAGAGUCCACCUCUUGUUUUUGGCUCAGGUCAUCAUCUCAUGGUCAUGUUAUCAAACCCGAUGUGGGCUCCAUGCUGGGCCUGCUUAAGAUUUUCUCUCUCCCUCUCCCUUUGCCCCUCCCCUGCUUGCACUCACACUCUCU
rnacentral:lncRNA from 1 species